GACGAACGCUGGCGGCGUGCUUAACACAUGCAAGUCGAACGGAAAGGCCCUGCUUUUGUGGGGUGCUCGAGUGGCGAACGGGUGAGUAACACGUGAGUAACCUGCCCUUGACUUUGGGAUAACUUCAGGAAACUGGGGCUAAUACCGGAUAGGAGCUCCUGCUGCAUGGUGGGGGUUGGAAAGUUUCGGCGGUUGGGGAUGGACUCGCGGCUUAUCAGCUUGUUGGUGGGGUAGUGGCUUACCAAGGCUUUGACGGGUAGCCGGCCUGAGAGGGUGACCGGCCACAUUGGGACUGAGAUACGGCCCAGACUCCUACGGGAGGCAGCGGUGGGGAAUAGUGCACAAGGGGCGGAGGCAUGAUGCAGCAACGCCGCGUGCGGGAUGACAGCCUUCGGUUUGUAAACCGCUGUCGCCUGUGACGAAGCGUUAGUGACGGUAAUGGGUAAAGAAGCACCGGCUAACUACGUG
rnacentral:rRNA from 1 species